ensembl:lncRNA
UUUUAUUCUUUGAUUGCUAAUCUAUUCAUUUGGCAUGUGAGAAUCAUAGCCGAAGUAACGCUUGGACCUUUAAAUUAGGUCUAUUUUUCUGGGAAUUGCCGAUAGUGACGUGUCUUGAUUUUACGAAUACAGACAAUUGUAAAGUGGGUUUAUUUGCGGACAGUCUUAGUCAUUCAAAUAGCAUUGGUGGUUCAGUGGUAGAAUUCUUGCCUGCCACGCGGGAGGCUCGGGUUUGGUUCCCAGCCAAUGCGCUUACUAAAAUCAGAGUUUUUGAUUGUAAUUAAACUAUUGUAUGUUUUGCCUCGAAAGACACAGUCGCUAGUGUUUGGUGAAGAUAUAAACGGAACGUUUUAAAUAGUUUGUUUGGUUCAAAUUGAAAGACUAAUUCAUUCAACUUAAAAUAAUAGCGAAGCGAAUUUUGAUGCAAGACGAUGUCUGUUGCCUAAAGGAUCUGCUGGAAUAAUGUAUUGAGAAUUGAGUCGUAUUUAAAUUACUGUAUCAAUAGAGGAGACAGUUACCUAAAUUAAAGAAAUUGUAAAUAGUAGCGGAGAGAUAAUGGCGAUAGAGUGGUGCCCACCGAAAUGUUUUUCAUUCUUAUAGAUUGACUGGCACGUGAUAAUUUUGGCGCUGUGUGUGUUAUUUUUAAAGUCUUGGACAUCCCAUAAGUGUGAAGAGGAAAGAGAAGAGAAAGUUGUAAAGUUUGGUUUUAAUCUUACGAUAGAGGGUAUUCCAGACAUGGGAAGCUCUCACACUGAAAGCAGAUUGACUUAAGGAUUCCUUCUUCCGGGACAGAUGGAAGUUAUCUAAAAUAUGCCUGGACUGUGAGCCAGCUCAUCUAGGUGAGUGUAUGGCGUGUUCUGGUUUGUCUGCUCUGCUACGCGCAGAUCCACCCGAUUGCGACGAUAGAGGGAGCCACCAACAUCCACCAGGGGAUAUAGGUCUAACUUCCUGAUCCUUGGCUCUACGAUGGAGUUGACAGUGUGAUGGGGAGUAUAAGCCAAUUUGAAAGAAUAGUUUCAAUAGAAUGUGUGGAUAUUCUCUUUGAAAUAUGUUUAGAUAUGUGUAUUAAGAAUAAUUGGUAAAAGUAAUAAUUUAUCAUGUAGUUAAUGAACUGAACUAAACUGUUGUUCUUUCGAGGUUAUCAUGAAAAGUGACAUCAGACGGUAUCUUAAUGCAUGGAAGAGAUAUUUGGACCGAAGAGGGGGUUUUGAGGUACACACACAUAACUGGCUGAAGAAGAAUGACAAAGGCGUUGAAUAAGGCCCUUCCGAACCACUUCUACCGAGAGAAAGGAACCAAGCCAGAAAUCGGUGUACAGUAUCCGAUCUAAGCUAUCAACUGCUUUUCUCUUAUGUUUCUCUCAGGAGUGUGAGAGGAGUCCACGUAGAGUGAGCAUGGAGAGAGAUCUGUUCUAAACUUUUCUUAUGUUGCGGGAAUACUGGUUGAUGAAUGGACAAGACAUAAUGAGUGGUAAAGAUGAGACAUUGAAAUUGAAACAUUAUCAUGGGCCAUCCACUUUGAACUGUAAAGUUAUCUGAAGAAGAAGGAAAAGGACGCCAGAAGAAUCAGUGCCUGAGGGAGUGGGUUGGUCAACUGUGCCAAUAAAAUUGUUUUAGACUUUUGUGGUAUCAGGUUGAUUGUAGAGGUUUACGCCAUGUAAAAUUAUAGUCAUUUAGAUUAAGAAUGCACUGAGAUACUGAUCUGUAUUAUAAUUGUGAUUUAAAAAGUUAAUAGUAGAAUUAUGGGAUAAUUAUUGAAUGUUAAUAUGAAUGUAAUUCUGCUAAAAUUGAUGUGUGUUAAAUUGAGUUUUUUACUUUGAGUGAUAAGACCAAUUUGAAUCACUGAGGAAUGUCAUUCUAAAUUUUGGUUGGAUAAAUAGUUGGGUUGUUAAUUAUGAUUUGGAAUAUGAAUGAUUUCCCUGACCUAUUCCUGACCACAUCUCUGAGCAUGAGGGAUGACUGUCCUAUAUGUUGUGAUGAGGCCUGUGUUUAGACACUGGUUCUCAUGUAACUUAGGAAGCAUUUUUAUGUUUUUGUUUUUAUUUUUCUCAACAAUGGAAUAGUCUGUGUGAUUAAACCUGUGCAAGUUUGUCUUGUAGAAUAAAGGUUGUAAACUUAGUUUCAGAAGGGAGAAAGCUUAUAUAUAAGCUAGGGAUUUUGACAUUGAAGGGAUUUUAUUUGUUAUUUUAUUUUAAAUAUUGAGUAUGUAGUUAGUAAUGUUCUGAUUCUCCAAAAGGGACAAUGUCCCUUGAGAGGGUAAUGUCGUGGCUGAAUCAGAAUUAGUUAGCUAACAUUGAUAAAUAAGAUGUUUUAUUUACCUAAUAAUGCUUAUGUGAGAUUAGUCAUUAGGAUGUUUUCUUUUGGAUAAUACUGUUGGCAGCUGCAUUUUCCCCUCUUCUCCAGGGCUUAGUCAUUAGGGGCCCAGAGAGGGGAGAGGUCAGGCUUGUCUUCAUAUGUCAAUAUAGCUGUUAAACCAUGUGAUGCUAUGAAGAAUAUCAGAAGGGGAGGAGGACAGAAUGGAGGCUUGUCAUCUUAUGGGAAUGUGUCUGUAACUAUUGUAUGUCCCCUCUGAGGUUGCCCUUAUCUUGAUUUAGUAUAUCACCUAAGAGGCUCACUGUCUUUUCUGAUCUUGUCCAGGAGGGGUUGUAUUUGAGAUGGAAGUAUCUAGAAUUUACCAUUGAUAUAUGUCAUUGGAUGAGGUAAUGGUUUGGUACUAUGUUGUACCAAGAACGAGAUUAGAACUUCGUUUAAGAGACCAAACUGAACGAUAAUUUAUAGUUAAUGCUGUCUGGCUAUGGGAUACUCCUCAAGUAAAGUCUUCCUUUGUAAUGUUCCUAAGAUCUGUUAUUUGUCAUGGGAGUUGAGAGGGGUGUGUCUUGGCUAUAAAUGAUACUAAGAAUUGUUUUGUAAGCACUCUCAGAGAAAUCAUUUAUAGACACUGAAUUGAUCUGAGAGUCACAGGGCUAUGGUGAAGCUCAUAUAUAAUUAAAGAUGGACUUUAUAAUAUACUCUAACUUGUGUGUGGUUUGCUCUCUCAAUGUUUAGUAAUACAGGAAAUUACCACGACAAUAUCGCAAAAAAAAACGCAUAAUAGCACAAUUGGUUAGGAGACCGUAAAACGGUGGCCAUCUCCUCCAGCGCCAUUACCCCAUGGGGAGGGGGGUCACACUCAGACAUUCAGAGAGGAGGCAUAUUAUUGUGGCCCUGGUGGCACAAAAUCAUCUGUCUGACUGCACGGACAUGCUUGGGAAUAUGGUCACAAUGGGGGUCCAGCGUGUGUGUUUCAGGGGAAGGAGGUAUAUCUGAUCUCCAUCAUCCUGGACAUGACAAAUUUGCCCAUUUUUGCAGGCCUUCUCAUACAGCUGCAACUGGAUAUGCAUUUGUAAAUAAAGACCUUUCUUGAGUUGGGCUCUGGGAUGGUGUAACUGUUGAGAAUCUGUAUUACAACUGGCCGUAAUUGGGAGUCCCAUAGGGCGUUGCACAAUUGGGAGUUGCACAAAGG